rnacentral:rRNA from 1 species
CCUACGGGGUGCAGCAGUGGGGAAUAUUGGACAAUGGGGGAAACCCUGAUCCAGCAAUGCCACGUGUGUGAAGAAGGCCUGAGGGUUGUAAAGCACUUUCGUUAGGGAGGAAGUUGUGUUGUUUAAGAGAUGACACAUUUGACGUUACCUAAAAAAGAAGCACCGGCUAACUCCGUGCCAGCAGCCGCGGUAAUACGGAGGGUGCGAGCGUUAAUCGGAAUUACUGGGCGUAAAGGGCAUGUAGGCGGUUGAUUUAGUCAGAUGUGAAAGCCCCGGGCUUAACCUGGGAGGUGCAUCUGAUACUGAUUGACUAGAGUACAGUAGAGGGUAGUGGAAUUUCCGGUGUAGCGGUGAAAUGCGUAGAUAUCGGAAGGAACAUCAGUGGCGAAGGCGGCUACCUGGACUGAUACUGACGCUGAGGUGGGAAAGCGUGGGGAGCAAACAGGAUUAGAUACCCGCGUAGUC